UUGCGCGCAGAAAAUGUGACGUAGUGCACAUAUGCGAGUUGCGUAUGACGUAAGCCGAUGACUCACGGAAGUGCGAGAGAUGUGACGAGCACGAGAACACGAGAGCGAUGCAAAAGGAUUAAAAAGAAACUGGUCCAUUGCUCCAACUUACGUUGAGGUCACUUGUUACACAAGUUAAAAGUGGAACCAACUGGAGUGUUCACAUCCUGAGGUUGGAGGACGUCCUGCUCCAGCUGUUCUUCAGCAGCGGGGAGGACUUCAGAGGCUGUAGAUUCAUGAUGGUCAUGGAUAGGGAUGGGCUGUAGAGAAUUGUGAUUUUUAAAGAGGGGAAUAUUAAUAACAUGAAUUAAACAUGAAUUGAGCUAACAAAACACACCUGGGGAGACUAAUCAAGGGGGAAAACUACAAACUGACUACAAACAUGGCACAGGAAACACUUCAACAUCACUUCAACAAGUCCAGACAUGACACAGGGAACAUAAAACACUUCUGAUGCCUGACACCAAUUUUCUUUUGACCCAGGACCUUUUAGUAGCGGGAAUCUUACAGGAGGUUCUUGAUAGGAAAAACAUAUCAGCAUAACAGGGAUCAAUGAACCAUUUCACAUUUGUGGGGUUUUCAGAAGAGGUCAUAGUUGGAUAAACUUUGAAGAGCACACUUGAAUAAACUUCUUGUCACCCCUAAAACCUUGUAGUGCCUAACUUGCCAUGAAAAAAAAAUAUGUUAAAGAGUUUUAAGCCACCCUGCUGGACUCGCUUGCAUGAAUUAUAGACUUUAUACUUGAGUCAAGCAUGCCAGCCUGAAAAUCUUCCCAUUGAACUUCCCAAGCUGUUCUGUUUGUUGUGAGGCAACUUAUAAAUAGUUCCAAGACAUGAGCCAUUGAGAGCAGGAAUGCAAGACCCUUUCUACCCAUCAGGCCACAGAAGGACCCAGGAAAGC
rnacentral:lncRNA from 1 species